rnacentral:rRNA from 1 species
UGUUAGUCGUCGGAGGGCUAGUCUCUUCGGUGAUGCAGCUAACGCAUUAAACAUUCCGCCUGGGGAGUACGGUCGCAAGAUUAAAACUCAAAGGAAUAGACGGGGACCCGCACAAGUGGUGGAGCAUGUGGUUUAAUUCGAAGAUACGCGAAGAACCUUACCUGGCCUUGACAUCCCAAGAACCCUCCAGAGAUGGAGGGGUGCCCCUUUUGGGGAACUUGGUGACAGGUGCUGCACGGCUGUCGUCAGCUCGUGUCGUGAGAUGUUGGGUUAAGUCCCGCAACGAGCGCAACCCUCGUGUUUAGUUGCUAACAGUUCGGCUGAGCACUCUAGACAGACUGCCUCCGCAAGGAGGAGGAAGGUGAGGACGACGUCAAGUCAUCAUGGUCCUUACGGCCAGGGCGACACACGUGCUACAAUGGGUAGGACAAUGAGAGGCAAUACCGCGAGGUGGAGCAAAUCUAUAAACCUACUCUUAGUUCGGAUUGUAGUCUGCAACUCGACUACAUGAAGCUGGAAUCACUAGUAAUCGUAGAUCAGCCAUGCUACGGUGAAUACGUUCCCGGGUCUUGUACUCACCGCCCGUCACACCAUGGGAGUUGAGUUCACCCGAAGCGGGGAAGCUAAACUGGCUACCUGCCACGGUGGGCUCAGCGACUGGGGUGAAGUCGUAACAAGGUA